GCAUAUCAAUAAGCGGAGGAAAAGAAACCAACAGGGAUUGCCCUAGUAACGGCGAGUGAAGCGGCAACAGCUCAAAUUUGAAAUCUGGCUCUCGGGCCCGAGUUGUAAUUUGUAGAGGAUGACUUUGAUGCGGUGCCUUCCGAGUUCCCUGGAACGGGACGCCAUAGAGGGUGAGAGCCCCGUCUGGUUGGAUGCCAAAUCUCUGUAAGUCUCCUUCGACGAGUCGAGUAGUUUGGGAAUGCUGCUCUAAAUGGGAGGUAUAUGUCUUCUAAAGCUAAAUACCGGCCAGAGACCGAUAGCGCACAAGUAGAGUGAUCGAAAGAUGAAAAGCACUUUGAAAAGAGAGUUAAAAAGUACGUGAAAUUGUUGAAAGGGAAGCGUUUAUGACCAGACUUGGGCUUGGUUAAUCAUCUGGGGUUCUCCCCAGUGCACUUUUCCAGUCCAGGCCAGCAUCAGUUUUCGCCGGGGGAUAAAGGCUUCGGGGAUGUGGCUCCCCUCGGGGAGUGUUAUAGCCCGUUGUGUAAUACCCUGGUGGGGACUGAGGUUCGCGCUUCUGCAAGGAUGCUGGCGUAAUGGUCAUCAACGACCCGUCUUGAAACACGGACC
rnacentral:rRNA from 1 species